UACGAAGGGGGCUAGCGUUGCUCGGAAUGACUGGGCGUAAAGGGCGCGUAGGCGGCGCACUUAGUCGGGCGUGAAAGUCCUGGGCUCAACCUGGGGACGGCGCUCGAUACGGGUGUGCUUGAGUGAGGAAGAGGGUCGUGGAAUUCCCAGUGUAGAGGUGAAAUUCGUAGAUAUUGGGAAGAACACCGGUGGCGAAGGCGGCGACCUGGUCCUUUACUGACGCUGAGGCGCGAAAGCGUGGGGAG
rnacentral:rRNA from 1 species